rnacentral:rRNA from 1 species
GAUGAACGCUGGCGGCGUGCUUAACACAUGCAAGUCGAACGAUGAAGCCCAGCUUGCUGGGUGGAUUAGUGGCGAACGGGUGAGUAACACGUGAGUAACCUGCCCUUAACUCUGGGAUAAGCCUGGGAAACUAGGUCUAAUACCGGAUAGGAGCGCCUACCGCAUGGUGGGUGUUGGAAAGAUUUAUCGGUUUUGGAUGGACUCGCGGCCUAUCAGCUUGUUGGUGAGGUAAUGGCUCACCAAGGCGACGACGGGUAGCCGGCCUGAGAGGGUGACCGGCCACACUGGGACUGAGAAACGGCCCAGAAUCCUGCGGGAGGCAGCAGUGGGGAAUAUUGCACAAUGGGCGAAAGCCUGAUGCAGCGACGCCGCGUGAGGGAUGACGGCCUUCGGGUUGUAAACCUCUUUCAGUAGGGAAGAAGCGAAAGUGACGGUACCUGCAGAAGAAGCACCGGCUAACUACGUGCCAGCCGCCGCCGUAACAC